GUGAGUUCCGAAUUCAAGAGAAUCACAACACUGCAUCUGCAGUCUAAGUUCUUCUCUGAGCUGGAUACAAACUCUGGAAAUCUGUUCAAGGCGUAUGCCAAAAAAGGUGGCGUUCAAGGGAAAAAAAUCAAGAGCAUCAUGGUACCCACAACCCAGACGGACAGCAUUGACAUCCGAUGAGAAUGCGUCCUCAAAGGUCUUUGUGUCUACUUGAAUGAAGAGCCAGAGAAGCUGGUGAAGGAAUACAUGGCUGGUGAUGAAAGCUCUGGAACAGCUAUGGCAGAGACGGUCUUUGGAAUAUUUGUCAUCCGACAGGAAGGAGCCAAGCCUUCUGAUGACCCGGAGGAUGUUGGAAUCAUUCUGGAAGGGGUGGAGGUACUCAACAACUUGGGAAAUGUUCCUUUUGCUGUUGCGAUGUUGCUCGCUCUUGUGUAUGCUCUAAACCUGAGCUACCCUCCGGAGUUGAAAUAUACCUGUGAAGCACUUCAGAAGAUCAUAAUGGAACUAGAUGGAAACAGACUAUCCAGAAAAGUACAAGCUCUCAAAACAUUCCUUUGCCGUUAGUGAAGUAAUGGAGAAUCCUUCACAGGAAUUGGAGCUCAGAUGAUUAUUAGUUUUAUGUGAAGGACAAAUAUUUAAGUGGAAGGAGACUCUGGAGGUAUAGUCCAAUUUCCCAACAGGUCAAUGGUCAGAAGCAAGGCAAGACAUGAUCUUGCUAUAGUCUCAUUUAAAGUAUAUACUGUCUUUUUUUGUUUUUUUUUAAUUAUUAUUUAUUAUUUAUUGCCUACUUGAAGAAAAACUAUUUUACGGCAGCAUUUUCCUGUUUCCUUUCUGUUAAUGCCCACCAUUUAGUUGAUAUGGUGUUUAUUUCAGCUUGCCCAAAAAGGCACAAUUUUUGUGUUGUUGCAAGCAACUGCUUGUGUAAAACAUUGUUCCAUUUUAUAUUACAGUUAAGCAUUGUGAAUAUUUUGAAAAAUAUAAAUACAAAAAUUGUAUGGAAAUGUG